AGUGAACGCUGGCGGUAGGCCUAACACAUGCAAGUCGAACGGCAGCACAGUAAGAGCUUGCUCUUACGGGUGGCGAGUGGCGGACGGGUGAGGAAUACAUCGGAAUCUACUUUUUCGUGGGGGAUAACUUAGGGAAACUUACGCUAAUACCGCAUACGACCUACGGGUGAAAGCAGGGGAUCUUCGGACCUUGCGCGAUUGAAUGAGCCGAUGUCGGAUUAGCUAGUUGGCGGGGUAAAGGCCCACCAAGGCGACGAUCCGUAGCUGGUCUGAGAGGAUGAUCAGCCACACUUGAACUGAGACACGGUCCAGACUCCUACGGGAGGCAGCAGUGGGGAAUAUUGGACAAUGGGCGCAAGCCUGAUCCAGCCAUACCGCGUGGGUGAAGAAGGCCUUCGGGUUGUAAAGCCCUUUUGUUGGGAAAGAAAAGCAGCAGGUUAAUACCCCGCUGUUCUGACGGUACCCAAAGAAUAAGCACCGGCUAACUUCGUG
rnacentral:rRNA from 1 species